rnacentral:RNase_P_RNA from 1 species
GGUAGCAGUGGCAGGAAGCAAAGGGACCCGCAAGGGAACCCAGGAAAGUCCGCCCACCUCAAAGCGCCACUUCCUAACGGAAGAAGGGGAAAUCCCUUGGCUCUGGCUUCAGCAACGACACGUCCUGCAAGAUGGGAUGAUAUGGCGAAGUCUCUUGUGAAAGAGAGGAGUUAAUCUGUUGACGUCCUUGCAGGGAACGAUGAAACGGCGAAUCCCCAGCUGGUGCAAGUCAGAUUUGACGCAUAGUAGAAUGCUUUCACGAGCCAUCGGCAAUCACACGAUUGCUUUGGGCUCGACAAAAGGCGGCUUAUGCCACUCUACC